CUUGCGGCCACAUCACAUUGAAACAUCGGUUCCCGUAACGAUCACCGAAGUUAAGCAACGUUGAGCCUGGUCAGUACCUAGAUGGGUGACCGCUUGGAAAUAUCACUUACUGUAA